UUUCAACAUUUUCUAAUUUUUUUUUCUAUUUUCAUCCCAAAACUUUGAUUUUUGUUCUAUUUUCUCUCUAAAUCAAAUUAACACAACCCAAACUCCUCCAACACACCUUAAACACUUCCAAGACCUUCCCAUAUUGGGAAUUCUAAAUUUAUCUUAUAAAAAGGUUAAACAUUGGAGCACAAUCAUUCUUCUAAAUUUUUAUUUUCUUCCAACUAUUUUUUAAUUUAUUCAUACCUCUUGAAAUCUUACUGCAUCACCCCGGAUACUUUCUAAUCCACUUUUAUUACCCCCAAACACUUUAAAUGCAACCUUUAAUCGCUAUUUUACUAAAUUUUUCUGAAGUUUU
rnacentral:lncRNA from 1 species